UGGUGGAGUGAUUUGUCUGGUUAAUUCCGUUAACGAACGAGACCUCGGCCUGCUAAAUAGUUUAGCGAAUCCUCCGGGAUUCGAUUAUUUAACUUCUUAGAGGGACUAUCGGUGAUUUAGCCGAUGGAAGUUCGAGGCAAUAACA
rnacentral:rRNA from 1 species